GACGAACGCUGGCGGCGUGCUUAACACAUGCAAGUCGAACGGAAAGGCUCCAGCUUGCUGGAGUACUCGAGUGGCGAACGGGUGAGUAACACGUGGGUAAUCUGCCCUGCACUCUGGGAUAAGCCUGGGAAACUGGGUCUAAUACUGGAUAUGACCUUUCUCCUUAUGGGGUUUGGUGGAAAGUUUUUCGGUGUAGGAUGAGCCCGCGGCCUAUCAGCUUGUUGGUGAGGUGAUGGCCUACCAAGGCGACGACGGGUAGCCGGCCUGAGAGGGUGAUCGGCCACAUUGGGACUGAGAUACGGCCCAGACUCCUACGGGAGGCAGCAGUGGGGAAUAUUGCACAAUGGGCGGAAGCCUGAUGCAGCGACGCCGCGUGAGGGAUGACGGCCUUCGGGUUGUAAACCUCUUUCAGCAGGGACGAAGCGUAAGUGACGGUACCUGCAGAAGAAGCACCGGCUAACUAUGUG
rnacentral:rRNA from 1 species